AGUCUUAUAGUUUAUAAAAAUAUAAAAUUGCAAAUUUUAAGUUGGAUAGUCCUAAGACUU
rnacentral:tRNA from 1 species